UCUCCUGACUCUUGCGGCUGGCGCUGGCGCUGGGCAUCGGGACACGGAACUGGGCAGUGGACACCACCCUCCCUCGCAGGCUUCCCCCUUUCAACUCCGCUCGGCUGUAACCGCAGACUCGUCACUAAAACACCCACCUAAGCGCGGGCCUUGGUUUCUCCUCUCUUGGAGUUUCCCGCCUUCUCUCUUCCCCUGGGCGACGUAGCUGCUUGGGGACGGAGGAGGCCUCUUCGCAAUCCAUUGCCCUGCUUGUUGGGACAGAGGAGUGCAGUUGGCUUGCCAAGGCAGCAUGGGGUACCAGUCCCUGUGUAAGUGAAGUGGGGAAAAGAACCACAUACAAAGGACCAAGAAUCAAAGUGGUGGCCGGGCGCAAUGGCUCAUACCUGUAAUCCCAGCACUUUGGGAGGCCGAGGCAGGAGAAUCAUGAGGUCAGGAGAUCGAGACCAUCCUGGCCAACAUGGUGAAACCCCGUCUCUACUAAAAAUACAAAAAAUUAGCCGGGCGUGGUGGUGGGGGCCUGUAGUCCCAGCUACUCAGGAGGCUGAGGCAGGAGAAUGGCAUGAACCUGGGAGGUGGAGCUUGCAGUGAGCUGAGAUCGCGCCACUGCACUCCAACCUGGGUGACAGAGCGAGACUCCGUCUCCAAAAAAAAAAAAAGGUGGAGACUAAAAAGCUGAUUAGAAGCUCUGAGCACUUCCAUGGGGUUUGUCCAUUGUGGGUUUUACUGUAUGAUGGUCUGGUUGGGCCAUUUGAUGGGUGUCAGUGUCUUUAGAUCUUUCCCUUUGGCUGGUCAGAUUGUUCAGGGAAAAAGCUCUUCUGAUCUGCUGCAUGAAGAAUAAAGGUCUGACUGCUAGUGUUCUGGGAAUAUCUGGCAUCCCACAUGUGUUUGGUCACUGAAUUCCCCUAGUUGGGUACAGUACCCAGUUCCUGAAGUCAAAGACCCACCUUUUACCUUCUCUAGAGAAUCCAUCAUGUCAGGGUAGGAGAAGACUCUUGCCAAAAGAGUAGAGUAUGGAGGGCUGCAGGGAUCAGAUUUCUCGUGUAGCUUCCCCCAAAUUGUCAUUAUCAUUCCCACUCCCCAUCUCCAUUUCCAGAGGUAUUUGGUGCUGCUUGUCUUGAGUCUUUUGUGAUUUCUGUGGUAUCAGUGAGGUCACUUCUCAGUUUUCUUGACUGUUCCCUUAGGAUUCAGCUUUUCAUAUCUGCUAAGUAGGUUACCACUGGCCCACCUGCUGCUUUUUGGCUUCCUGCAUUUUUGGGGGAAUUGUCUCCUCUCCUGUUCUCCCAUCGUCUCGAUUAUAGUUUUUGUGACAUUAAGGGCAGGAGCAAGAUUAGAUCUGCCAUCUUAGUGCAGAAGUCACUUUUCAUGUAUACAAAGUUUCUGGCUGAUGACUGUAGUUACCAAAAUUUAUACCAAUGCUUAUACUUUUUUUUUUUUUUUUUUUUGAGACAGAGUCUCACUCUGUCUCAGCUGGAGUGGAGUGCAGUGGCACGAUCUUGGCUCACUGCAGCCUCCGUCUCCUGGGUUCAAGAGAUUCUCCUGCCUCAGCCUCCCAAGUAGCUGGGAUUAUAGGUGAGCACCAGUAUGCCCGGCUAAGUUUUGUACUUUUAGUAGAGAUGGGAUCUCACCAUGUUGGCCAGGCUGGUCUUGAACUCCUGACCUCAAAUGAUCCACCUGCCUCAGCCGCCCAGAGUGCUGGGAUUACAGGUGUGAACCACUACACCUGGUCCCAAUGCUCAUACAUUUUUUCGGCAAGUAUUUAUUGAGAGUCGACUAUGUGUCAGGCAUUAGUCUAGACAUUUGGGAUACAUCAGAGAAUAAAGUAGAUAAAGGUCCCUGUUCCUGUGGAUCUUAUGUUUUAGAGGAUGGAGGCAGAUAAUAAAUAACAAAAUAAGUAACAUAAUAAGUAAAUUAUGUAACGUGAGAAAAUGGAAAAAAAUUGAGCAAGUUAAGAGGAACAGGAGUUCUGGGGUGGUGAGGUUGCAGUUUUAAAUAUGGUGGUUGGUCAGUUUUAAAUAUGGUGGUGGUAGGCUUCAGUGAGAAAGUGACAUUUGAAGAUUUGAAGGCACUGAUAGAUGUGCCUGUGUACAUAUUUGGGGAAAGAGCAUUGCAGGGAAGAGGAUAACCAGUGUAAGGGCUUUAAGAUGGGAGGAGCAAGGAGGCCAAUGUUCUAUACCUAGGGUAACAUCUUUAAGGCCUCUGAAGUGUGUAGGAUUCUUUAUCCUGAAUGACUCUAGUUUGCCAAGCUUUUUAAAAAAUUGUGGAAAAGCACAUAAAAAUUAUCUUUCUAACCUUUUAAAAGUAUACAGUUCAGUAAUGUUAACUAUAUCACAUUGUGUAAUAAAUCUCUAGAAAUUGUUCAUCUUGCAAAACAGAAAUCCUGCACCCAUGGAGUAACAGUUUGGCAUUUCCCCUCCCCCAAGUCCUGGGCAACCAGUAUUCCACUUUCUAAUUUCAUGAUUUUUGACUAUUUUAGAUACCUCAGAUAAGUGGAAUCAUAUAGUAUUUGUCCUGUUGUAUAUUGCCAAGCUUUUUGAGUUCUUGUAUUGAAAAUUCAUUCUGGCUCCAGCCUUGCUGUCAUGUUGAAUUUAGCUAUUACUUCUCUCACGCCUAGAUGUAGUUCAAAUCUUAACACCCCUGUUUACCAGCUGAAUCAGGUGGGAUGCCUUUGGCUGCGAAUAAGAGAAACCCUGACUCAGCCUGUUUCAAACAGUAAUGUAUUGCUCAUCCAGAAGGAAGUUGGGGAAAGAGGAGAGUCCACGUUUGGUUGAUCCAUGCAUUCAGCAAUGUCAUCAAGGAUGGAGCAGUUCUUUCCUUCUCGCUGCUCUGGAGGCUUCACCCUCAGGUUGGUAGCAAGGCAACUGCAGCAACCAACCAUUUUUGGCUUCAACAUGCAGGAACCAAAAAGGCAUCACAUUCAGUUGUGACAACAUCAGGGAAGGAGACAGACCUCGUACUUUCCCGUGCCUCUCCCUUAAAUGUAGAAACCAUUCCUUAAAAUUUCUGCAGCCAGCUUUCCUUCACACCUGAUUGGCCAGAAUUGGAUCAACAUGCUUGUGUUCAAACCAGUUACUGGUAAGGGAAAUGGGAUCAAUAGGUAGUCAGGCCUACCUCAGAAUUUUGGGGGUGGGUUGGGAGUGUUGCCUCCACUGGAGCACAUGUAUACCUGGGAGAGGGGUGGACAUCUAAAUAAAACCAGAUUCUGUUAGGAUGGAGGAAGGAUAAGAAUGGAUGCUGAGUAGAUAGCCAGCUGUGUCCAUUACCUUAGCUGUGUGAUCUGAAGAGAGUCAUUUGACAUCUUGGAUCCUCAGUUUUGUCAAGAAAAUAAGAGUCAUGGUGUUUUCUCAUGUAAGGAUUAAAGUUCAUGUCCUUUGUAGGGACAUGGAUGAAGCUGGAAACCAUCAUUCUCAGCAAACUAUCUCAAGGACAAAAAACCAAACACCACAUGUUCUCACUCAUAGGUGGGAAUUGAACAAUGAAAACACAUGGACACAGGAAGG